rnacentral:tRNA from 1 species
GGCGAAAUGGCCGAGUGGUCUAAGGCGUCAGACUCAAGUUCGUACAAACUUAUGCACUAUGUGCAAAGCCUUGGGUUUUCUGAUCUCGUUAUCGAGGCGUGGGUUCGAAUCCCACUUUCGUCA